UAGAGGUAGAAUGUUAAGUGAAGUAGAAAAAAACGAAUGUGUUAAGAGAAUGGGACAGGUAGGAAGAAAUUUUGGAAGGGGUGGGGGUUUGGAGGUGGAAGGGAUUAGAGAAAAAAAUAUAAUUCUAGAGCUUGGGUAAGCAGAAUGGGGAGGGAAAUUUUUAGGGAGUGGAAAGACUGCUCGAUGGGGAUGGAAGCAUAGAGAUGGGAGCUGAUUAGUUUUUCGACCGAUCAAUGGGAUUCAAUGAAUCAUUCAUUGCCAUCUUUAUAAGCAGCUGGGUUUUUACGAUUCAGCGGGUUUUAUCAAAUCCUGCCAAGUCUACAGGGAGAUGAUUCAAGAUUUGGAGAUGUUGUGGAGCACUGGUUUCAGACAUCGUUUGCUUUGCUCAUAUAACCUAUUUGAAGAAUGUGGUUGACUUCUGAUAUUUCACUACUUCAUGGUUUGGGGAUCAAAUUUGUCCUUAUUCCCAGGGCUAAUAUUAAAAUUGACGAGUUAUUGGCGGAGCGAGGUAAGAAGGGAAAGUACAUUGGUUGUUACAGAGUAACAGAUGGCGAUUCACUGGAGGCUGCAAUGGAAGCAGCCGGCAUGAUUCAAGUGAAAUUAGAAGCAAAGCUUUCUCCUGGGCCCCCAAUAUUAAAUCUUCGUCGGCAUGGUGGUAUUAAUCGUUGGCAUGAAGUUGGUUCCUUUGUUGCAAGUGGCAACGUUGUGGCAGCUAAGAGAAGAGGAGUUGUUGAUGGUAUUGAUUAUGGAUUGACUGGUGAAGUAAAGAAAAUUGAUGUUCCUCGCAUACGAGAAAGGCUUGAGAAGGAUUCUAUAGUUAUAGUAAGCAAUUUGGGAUAUUCCAGCACGGGAGAAGGUUUAAAUUGCAACACCCAUGAAGUUGCCACUGCUUGUGCCUUGGCCCUUGAAGCCGACAAAUUGAUUUGCAUCACAGAUGGUCAGAUUGUCAAUGAAAAGGGCUGCCCUAUUCGUUUCAUCUCUCUUCAAGAAGAAGAUUUCAUGAUUAAGAAUAAAUCUAAACAGAAUGAAGCUGCGAACCACGUGAAGGUUGUUGGUUCAGAAAAUUAUAUUCACCCUUUCAAUUUUGAAUCAGUUGAGAGCGGCAAACAAGCUAUGGCCACGGAAGCCUUUAGUCUAGGGAAUUAUGCAAAUGCUCAAAAUGUUGUUGGAGUUGAUAAAUUUAGUGCAUCAUGGUCAAUUGGACAAGGAUUUGCUAUUGGUGGUGAAGAACGGAUGAGCACACCCUACUUUGCUGAGCUAGCUAGUGCUGCAUUUGUCUGCAAGCGUGGAGUUCAAAGAGUUCACAUAGUAGAUGGAACUUGUGGUGGGGCAUUGCUUCUUGAUUUGUUCACAAGAGAUGGGAGAGGAACAAUGAUAGCUGGUAAUGUUUAUGAGGGAACUAGAAUGGCAAGGGACAUGGAUCUUCCGGGUAUAAAGAAAGUUAUCAAUCCUUUAGAAGAAUCUGGUACACUGAUUCUGAGAUCUGAAGAACAGCUACGUAAUGAACUAGAUUCAUUCGUUGUUGUUGAACGGGAUGGUUCUGUUAUUGCUUGUGCUGCUCUUUUCCCUUUUCUUGAAGAGAAGUGUGGGGAGGUUGCGUCAUUUGCUGUGUCUGCAGAAUGCCGUGGACAGGGUCAGGGAGACAAGUUGCUAGAUUAUAUUGAGAAGAUGGCUUCAUCUCUUGAACUAGAAAGACUGUUCUUGCUCACAACUCGUAGUGUUGAUUGGUUUAUUGCUUGCUGAAAUUGCAACUGUCUGUGAAACACACCGCAGAGCAUAUAUUCAUCAAGAUAUUAUCUAUAAAGCUAUAUCACAUUUAAUUGAUAAUUUGGGGCGGAUGUUAGAGACGUUCAGCUUAUGAUGUUUAGCGUCUUUUAAUGUGAUAUGCAUAGUGGCUAGUGCAUAUGAUGCAAAACAUAGUAGUGUCGAAGUAGUUGUGGGCUUCAAUGUGGUAGAGGACCAAGCGUAGUGGGUCAAUGGAUUCUAUAGGCUCGCAAGGGCUGGCUAAAGUAUGUGUGCUAGAUUGCCCUAAAAGAAUAUUGCCCCAAACAUAAUUUAUUUUAAUUAUAGGGGUCGAGGUUUCAUAAAGGAGCAAGCGGUUAAGCUCUUAUGAUUUAGUAUGUUUAUUGGAGCACAUGCAGAUGAUUUAAAUUCUUUUAGUAGGUUUAUCAGGCACAUGCAAAUGGUUUUAAUUUAAAAGAAUUGAGCAUAAUUUAGAGAACAUGCAUGCGUAUUUAAGUGCUUGCACAACUUUUGAGGUGUAAUUUGAGUUUACUACUGCUUGAUGAUGUGCAUAGGAAACUUGAAAUUAUUUGGAUUUGGUUGUUUGUGUGAAUGUUUUAUCAUUAAGAUGCAUGCAAACUUUCCAUGUUGUCUGCUUGCAUGUUUGUUCUGGAUUUGGUUACAAAUAUUUCAAGUUAGAUUCUCAUUGUGCAUUGAAGGCAGUGAUGGUUGCUUGGUUAUAUUUAAUGUGGAUGCAGUUCAUGCUUCGAACAACUCUAAAUAGUCGGUGAGGAGUUCUAAUCGUGCUCAUUGGUUUGUUCGACGAGGAUUCUCCGAGUGUUCUAUAGAGGCAAUUCCAGAGGAAAGGCGGAAAAGGAUCGACUUUUCUCGAGGAUCAAAAUAUUACAUGAAAAAGCUGCAGGCUGAAAUGGGAGGAAUUACAAUGAACC